CACAGCAGAAAGCACAACCACCAUGACUCUCAUCUCCAUCCUCAUCUGGACGCUGCUCUGCUGCUGCUUCCAAGGUUCUAGUGGUCAACUGACUGUGACUCAGCCUGCAGCAAAAACAUCUUCACUUGGAUCCACAGUCACUCUGACCUGUAACAUCAACCCAAAAGUUACAUCUUGGUCAGGUGGAACUAGUAGAGUACACUGGUAUCAGCAGAAAUCUGGACAAGCGCCAAAGUUGGUCCUCAAAUAUGGUAAAAAUCCCACAGAUGACUUUUCCUCUCGAUUCUCUGGAAGAGGAAACGGACAAAAUAAUGAAAUGACCAUCAGUGGAUUUCAGGCUGAAGAUGCAGCAGUUUACUACUGUAAGGCUUAUGAGGAAAUAAACAGUGUCUGGGUGUUGACACAGUGAUUUAUGGUCGUACAAAAACCUCCUCAGUCAGACUGCAGAGACUCUGAACUGUUACAGCAGGAACCAAGUGCAGCUGCUGAAGAGGAAGAAACUCUGACACAGACCACUGAACACAGAGCUGACAGGAACCUCACCAAGCACCACCAACUUUAUUCUA